CUGCGAGAGACGAGCUUCGCCCUGUCUGAGCUGGACACCCCAGGCCUCCUCAGGUCCCGGAGUUUCCCACGUGAGGCCUCUGAAUCACCUUUUCCCUUUUCUGGGGACCUUGGGGGAACGCUGACUCCCCCCCUCCCCAUCCUUCCCCUACCGGGCUAAAACUCCCAGGCUGCGCCCCCUAGCUCGCGCCUCGCUUUCUCCUCCUGGGGCAGAUUCGAGGACGUGGCUGCAGCCCCCCCCCCCCCCACACACACACACAUACACGGCCAGGCCGGUUGUCGCAGCACCUGGAGCCUUGACCUCGCCCUCUGGGGAGGCGAACCACCCGGUGGCGCGGCGCGGCCCCCAGACGCUUUCACCCGCGCCCGCACCUAGGGUCCUUCCGGACUUAAAAGGGAGGGCGUGGGAGGGAAGCAGAAAGGUCUACGUAGCUGCUGAGGACCUUGGGGCACCGCACCGAAGAGAUGGCGGGAUUGGGGAAGGUGGUAGAAAUGGACAAAUCCAGGCCCCCUGCAGCGAUUCCUCUCCUCCAUCCGGUGCUAAUCUGAGCGACUGAGGUGACAGAGGUGGGGGGGAGGCGGAGCCGGGGGCUGUGCCUCGGAAUACACUCCAGGAAAUCGAUCUUUAUCUGCCUUCGGUGAACUGGUCGAUCUGGGCUGGGAGGGGCACAUCCACCCUCAGGGCGGCCACUUGGUGUGGAGCUCUCAGGCUGGGGCCUCGACGAAAUAAAAAAAUUACAAAAUGACAUUCUCCCUGUUCCCUCACUCUGGGCACUCAAUUUCCCGACUCUGGGUCUUUGCGCCGGCCGCCCUCAAGCCCCAACGCCUCACUCCAUCGCUUCCUUCAAAGCUCGGUUCAAAUCCCAGCUUCAGCCAGGACUUUGCUCUGCCCUCAUUCCCAGUUGAUGAGUGUUUUCUCUGAAACGACGUCCUUCCAUAAUCUUAAUGGAGGUUUCGGCUGCAAAAAAAUCCAAUACUUAACAAAGGUCAACUGAGGCACUACUGAUGUACCAGUGAGCAAUCUUCCUAGCAGAAAAGCUCCUUCCCGAAUGAAGGCAUGGCAAGCUGAGCAGUGCAUCCCAGUGAAGAGAUUAAUCGGCCAGUUGUUGCCUCACAAACAAUCUUUCUUAAUGGAUGAUGCCCCCCAAAAGUGGCACAGAUUUGAUAGAAUGUAGGAUUUGUGCUGUCUGUCCGGUGUACUCUCCAUCAUUUCCUGUGAUGGCCCCACUGGACAUCUGCAUGUUGAUUUCAUCUGCAUGCCCAAGUCUGGUUAAGGACACACCAGUGGGGUAAAUUAUUGCACAUAAAUGAGGCAUGAAAAGGAGGCACAGUGGAGGGGAAGAUGGGGGAUGUGGAGAGAAGAGCAGGGCAUCUUACUCUCAUCAAAAUUGGCUCAAGGAGGGAAGAAUAUCCACAAUCCAUUGGGUAUUGAAAGCCCUCUUACCCUACAGGCAAGUAGAAGAAGUGGCCAAGAGAAAGGGGAUGGGGCUGAUGGAAAAGAGGACAAAUUGGGGGAAGCUGAGGCCAGAAACUAAGGUUCAAAUAGGAUGUAAAGUCUUACAUAGGAAUCAUAAUGGUGCAAAAAGCUUUUACAAAUCUCUCUGAUAAAGACCUCAUUUCUCAAAUAUAUAGAGAAAUGAGUUGAAUGUAUAAGAAUACAAUCCACUCCCCAAUUGCUAAUUUUGCGUGUUGCUCAAGGUUAGGACCCUCUGUGCUGCCUCUGGGACCAUUUUGCCCUGGUGCGUGCACACCCUCUCCCUGUGCUGUGAUGUUCUGCACAGCCACUCCUGGAUGGAUCCCAUCCCUUGUGCCUUCCAUAGAGUUAUUGUCUGUCUCCCUAUACUGGCCUGGGCUAGAAGAAUGAUUUGUGCUUUUUAACCCUAGAUUUCUUAUCCAGGAUUUGGUCAGAUCUAUUCUCCAGUUCUCAACUAAACUAGGUUAAUCUCAAUUAAAGCUCUCUAUAGUCAUGCAAAAAUUCUCUAAAUUACUAUUAAUUAGAGAAAUGCACAUGAAAAUAACCCUGAGGUCCCAGCCAAUGCCUAUCACAUUGACUUAUGACAGAAAAGGAAAAUGACAAAACUUGAAGGGAAUAUAGGAAAGCUGGGACACAAAUUGUUGGAGAGUUGUGAACUGAUUUAUAUUCAAGAGAGCAAUUUGAACCUAUGCCCAAUGGGCUAUAAAACAUAACUUUUGGCCCAACAAAACCAUUACUAGUACCCCCCCAAAUUAAAAAGGUUUAAAAAAAGAGAAACUGAGGCAGACUAGGGCUGCAUAUGAGCAGAUAGAAUUAGAUGCUUCAAAUUCUUCUAUCUAUGAGACCUCCAAACCACAGGGUCUCAACUGCUAGCUGUGAUGACAUCCAGAGCUGGCUUAGGGACCCAGAAGUCCCCAGAUCCCAGCUGUCUUUGAGAAGACAACCCUCUUUUUUAAGUAACUCACUCCCUUCUCACUUUCCCUCCUGAAAGGGCAAAGAUUUGGAAAGUGAGGCAUUACCCAUCAAAUGGGGAUGGCUGAGUAAGUUAGAGUAUAUGAUUGUAAUGGAAUACUAUUGUGCUUUAAGAAAUGACAAGUAGGAGAACUUGGACCUGGAAAACCUUACAAGUGAAGUGAAGAAAGCAGAACCAAGAGAACAUUGUACUCAGUGACAAGAACACUUUACGAUGAACAACUGUGAAUAAUAGCUCUUCUCAGAAACACAGUGACCCAAAACUAUACCAAUGGACUCAUGAUUUUAAAAAAAGUCUGUGUAUUUUCAUAGAAAAAGAAGAGUCUGAAUCCAGACCAAAGAAAACUUUUUUCCCUUUCUUAAUAUUUUUUUAUUUAAGUUUCUUUCCACAAAAGAAUUAAUAUUGAAAAAUGUUUUACAUGAUUGCACAUGUAAAAUCUAUGAGAUUGCUUACCAUCUCUAGGGGUGGGAGUAGGGGUUGGAGGGGAUAGAGGGAGGGAGAGAAUCUGAGACUCACUAUUCUUUGAAAAAUGUGAGAAACUGGUUUUUUUUACAUGUAACUGGGGGAAAAUAAAAUUUAAA